rnacentral:rRNA from 1 species
GACGAACGCUGGCGGCGUGCUUAACACAUGCAAGUCGAACGGAAAGGCCCUGCUUUUGUGGGGUGCUCGAGUGGCGAACGGGUGAGUAACACGUGAGUAACCUGCCCUUGACUUUGGGAUAACUUCAGGAAACUGGGGCUAAUACCGGAUAGGAGCUCCUGCUGCAUGGUGGGGGUUGGAAAGUUUCGGCGGUUGGGGAUGGACUCGCGGCUUAUCAGCUUGUUGGUGGGGUAGUGGCUUACCAAGGCUUUGACGGGUAGCCGGCCUGAGAGGGUGACCGGCCACAAUGGGACUGAGAUACGGCCCAGACGCCUACGGGAGGCAGCAGUGGGGAAUAUUGCACAACGGGCGGAAGCCUGAUGCAGCAACGCCGCGUGCGGGAUGACGGCCUUCGGGUUGUAAACCGCUUUCGCCUGUGACGAAGCGUGAGUGACGGUAAUGGGUAAAGAAGCACCGGCUAACUACGUG